ensembl:snoRNA Gm24455 small nucleolar RNA SNORA18
UUUGAGGUCUAUCCCGAUGGGGCUUCCCUAGUAGCCAGACAUCGUUGGAAACGCCUCAUACAGCAACUUGUGGUUUUACUUGACUCACAGGACUGACUGUUAGGUCUGUGGGAAGGAACUACAAGACAGCU